GAUGAACGCUAGCGGCAGGCCUAAUACAUGCAAGUCGUACGGCAACACAGUUGCGAGCAAUCGCAACCGGUGGCGAGUGGCGCACGGGUGAGUAACGCGUAUGUAACCUACCCUUCUCCGGGACAUAACUCCGCGAAAGCGGUGCUAAUAUCCCAUACCAACUCAUCAAGACAUCUUCUUGAGUUGAAAGCAGCAAUGCGGUGAAGGAUGGGCAUGCGUCCCAUUAGCUGGUUGGUGAGGUAAUGGCCCACCAAGGCUACGAUGGGUAGGGGUUCUGAGAGGAAAGCCCCCCCACACUGGUACUGAGACACGGACCAGACUCCUACGGGAGGCAGCAGUAAGGAAUAUUGGGCAAUGGUCGAAAGACUGACCCCAGCCAUGCCGCGUGCAGGAUGAAGGCCCUAUGGGUUGUAAACUGCUUUUAGCCGGGAAUAAACACCCGUUUUAUAACGGGCCCGAAGGUACCGGCUGAAUAAGCAUCGGCUAACUCCGUG
rnacentral:rRNA from 1 species